CCCGGGGAAACCCGGAUUAAUACCGCAUACGCCCUUUGGGGGAAAGCAGGGGAUCUUCGGACCUUGCGCUAUUGGAUGUGCCUAUGUCGGAUUAGCUAGUUGGUGGGGUAAGAGCCUACCAAGGCGACGAUCCGUAGCUGGUCUGAGAGGAUGAUCAGCCACAUCGGGACUGAGACACGGCCCNAACUCCUACGGGAGGCAGCAGUGGGGAAUAUUGGACAAUGGGGGCAACCCUGAUCCAGCCAUGCCGCGUGUGUGAAGAAGGCUUUCGGGUUGUAAAGCACUUUCAGUGAGGAGGAAAACCUUACGACUAAUACUCGUGAGGCUUGACGUUACUCACAGAAGAAGCACCGGCUAACUCCGUGCCAGCAGCCGCGGUAAUACGGAGGGUGCAAGCGUUAAUCGGAAUUACUGGGCGUAAAGCGCGCGUAGGUGGUUUGAUAAGCGAGAUGUGAAAGCCCCGGGCUCAACCUGGGAACGGCAUUUCGAACUGUCAGGCUAGAGUAUGGUAGAGGAGUGUGGAAUUUCCUGUGUAGCGGUGAAAUGCGUAGAUAUAGGAAGGAACACCAGUGGCGAAGGCGGCACUCUGGACCAAUACUGACACUGAGGUGCGAAAGCGUGGGGAGCAA
rnacentral:rRNA from 1 species